rnacentral:rRNA from 1 species
UACGUAGGUGGCAAGCGUUGUCCGGAAUUAUUGGGCGUAAAGCGCGCGCAGGCGGUUUAAUAAGUCUGAUGUGAAAGCCCACGGCUCAACCGUGGAAGGUCAUUGGAAACUGGUAAACUUGAGUGCAGUAGAGAAUAGUGGAAUUCCAAGUGUAGCGGUGAAAUGCGUAGAGAUUUGGAGGAACACCAGUGGCGAAGGCGGCUUUUUGGCCUGUAACUGACACUGAGGUGCGAAAGCGUGGGGAGCAAACAGG